rnacentral:rRNA from 1 species
UGCCAGCAGCCGCGGUAAUACGAAGGGUGCAAGCGUUAUCCGGAAUCAUUGGGUUUAAAGGGUCCGUAGGCGGACUAAUAAGUCAGAGGUGAAAGUUUUCGGCUCAACCGGAAAAAUGCCAUUGAUACUGUUUAACUUGAAUUAGUGUGAAGUAAUUAGAAUAAGUAGUGUAGCGGUGAAAUACAUAGAUAUUACUUAGAAUACCGAUUGCGAAGGCAGGUUACUAACACUAUAUUGACGCUGAGGGACGAAAGCGUGGGGAGCGAACAGGAUUAGAUA